CUGAGUUGGUGGCAGCGGUCAGGUACUUUGACCAGAGGCAGGCACAGGCCCAGCAACAGACCCAGGACCAGUCAGAGGAGGUCAGGGACAGACUGGCUUUCUUGGAGCUGCAGGCACAGGUUAGAUGAGUUAGAUAUAUGUUAGUGUAAUUCUAAUCUAUAUUUAUCUUUUCUAUUUCAUAUGUACUUCUGUUUUUAUUUACAAUAAAUUUUAUUUGUUAGAUUUCUGUAGUUCCAUUAAAUAUAUUUUCUUUGGCUUUGUUUGGUACAAGAGAAAAGCAAAGAACUUUUUAAAGUGGGAGGAGUGAAGUGUGUUUAGGGAAAUUACACAACAGGAUCUCAUUUUGUUAAACAAACAGUGGUAUCAUUUGACCUCUGUACUAGCUGAAGUGUUUAACACCUCUGUCUGGAGAGUGAGUGCAGCUGAUAGAUUUGUGCAUACAGAUAUUUAUACUUCACAAGCAUCUUUGACAGAAUGAUACUCACUUCAAACUACUGACACUAGUUUACAGCCUGUACAUUAUUAUUCCCUUUUCUAGUGCAAGACCACCACAGAAUAAAAAAUAAGUGUAUUUAAAUGUAUGGACUCCACUAAAACAAUUAAAACUGAGAUCAAUAUCAAUUGUGUCUGCAUUUCUUUCCUCCCACCAGAUAUUGUUUGAGCGGGUCAUAUUUGACCAAGCGGAGCUGCGGGAAGCCAUACGAAUCAUUGACAAGGAUGUACCGAGAACUAACAGAGACCUGAGCUACUACCAGGGUGAAGGUUUGGGCAAUCUGUUGGUGUUGAGAGAUAUCCUCAUCACUUAUGCUGCUUUUCAUCCAGAGGUCAGUUAUGCCCAAGGAAUGAAUGACCUGUGCAGCCGCUUCCUGGAGGUCCUUGACUCUGAGGUGGACACUUUCUGGAGUUUCUCCUGCUACAUGGAGAAAUUCUCCAAAGACUUCAGGGCUGAUGGUCUGCACAGGAAAAUAGAGUUGGAAGCAGCCCUGUUGAAGGAACUGGACCCUCAGCUUUAUGCUCAUUUGGUCACAGACAACAUGGAGAGCUUCACCUUCUGCCACAGGUGGCUGCUGCUGGGUUUCCAGAGGGAGUUUGAACACAGUGACGCAUUACGUUUGUUCGAGAUCUUGAGUUGUGAUCACCUGGAGCUUAUCUCUCAACAAGUAGACAGAGCCCGUUAUCAGGAAAGGCUGGCACGAAAAUGCAGCACAGAUGACAGUUCACAGUCAGAGCUGCAGGCCAUCAACACUGACUUCACCUUUGAGCUCUUCAUCUGUGCAGCCAUCCUGUUAGAGAACAGAGAGUCUCUGCUGCGGUGCCGAGAUGAUGUACAACUCAUACAGUUCACAAACAGCCUUCAGGGAACACUGGACCUGAACAGCACACUGAAGAAAGCAGAACGCCAUUUGUACAACUACUGCAAGCGCUGUGCUUGGGACUAUAUGAAUGGGCGGUGCAGAGCACACAAGAGCAAACAAGAAGACUUUCUUUAUCAACUCCGCAGUUUACUUAUUUUAAAGUGA
rnacentral:lncRNA from 15 species